CGGCGGAGAAUGUGCGCGCUGGUUGUGGGCAGGCUGCACGGGCUGCUCUGGGCGAUGGCGGAGUGGGGGAAGCACCUUGCGGGCUUGGAGGGGCUGGUGCUAGACAUCAGCGGGGUGCUUUAUGACAGUGGAGGCGAAGGAGGCGGAGUCCCCAUUCCCGGAUCUAUAGAAGCAGUGAAAAAGAUCAAGACAUCUGGUCUUAAGCUGCGGUUCUGCACCAAUGAAACUCAAGCUACGCGAGACAAGUUUGUAGGAAAGUUGCAGCAUCUGGGCUUUGACAUUGGGGUGGAUGAAGUCACUGCUCCAGCACCAGCAGCAUGCCGAAUCCUGAAGGAACGCAACCUGAGGCCACACCUGCUUGUACAUGAUGAUCUUAUCCCAGAAUUUGCUGAUAUUGAUAGAGCAAACCCAAACUGUGUGGUGGUGGGUGAUGCAGCAGACAACUUUUCUUACAAAAACCUUAAUGCUGCCUUCCAAGUGCUCAUUGGUUUGGAGAAUCCAGUUCUGAUAUCUCUAGGAAGAGGGCGUUAUUAUAAAGAAACAGAUGGCUUAAAACUUGACGUUGGGGCAUAUAUGAAGGCACUGGAGUAUGCAUGCGAUAUUCAAGCGGAGGUGGUGGGAAAGCCAGCCAAAAUGUUUUUCCAGUCAGCCUUGACAGAAAUGGGCAUUGAACCACACCAGGCCAUCAUGAUUGGGGAUGAUAUUGUAAAUGAUGUUGGAGGUGCCCAGCAUUGCGGUAUGAGAGCUCUACAAGUACGGACUGGAAAGUACAGGCCUUGUGAUGAGCACCACCCAGAAGUGAAGGCUGAUGGUUAUGUGAACAACCUUGCAGAAGCUGUGGAUGUGAUUCUAAAACAACUGCAUAAGUAAUGGAGCUGCAAGGAGUGACUGAAGGCAUAAAGAUGGGAGACUUAACUUGAGAGAAGGAUCAAGAACUGAACAGGGCACUGAAGCCUCCUCACUCCUGGUUGCUGAAACACCUAUUCAGUCACAUUUCUGGCUUCUGAGAUUUUGCCUGGCAUGGGUCACACAUUUUCAAACUCGUUCGCAGAACCGUAUGGGCUAGAGAGCAAGAGCUGAGAUCCUCGGGAAACUGUACACCACAUUCUGCACUUUUUCUCUGCGCAUAGGGACCUUCGCUGCUCUCUUGCUCCCACCCAUGCAGCCCUGUGUAUAGGUCACAACAUCUGAAAGUGUGUAGGACUGGUAAUCAAAUGUUGGAUGAAGCCAGUAACUGACUGCUAUCCCCUAGGAGAGAAAGGCAAACAAGGAAACAACUGUAUCUCUCAGAUAUGAGUGGGGCCAGCCCUAAUGAACUGGCAAGGCCUCAUUUUAUUUCAAUAGCUGCCAAUAAAUAAUUGCUGUCCUGCGUAAAGUUCACUAGUACAUUGCACAAAACCAGCUCUAUUUGCAAAGCACAGAAAAAGAACAAGCCAGCAGUAUGAGACAGAAGUAGCCCCUGGAGGUACCAUGUUUCAGCUGUCGUUACUGAAACCACACAAACCAAAGCAUGUUAAUUUCAAAGCAAGCUGGUACAAAACAUGCACAGUAACUGCAGGGCCUUGCAGCUUUAUUAUAGUUCUCUUUAAACUGCAAGCCAGAUGCUAUCUGCUGUGAAGACGGGGAGGUUGUGCCAGAGAACAACCCACAAUGAUUACUUAACACUCUUGCCGCAGAGUGGAGUUACAAUCUUCAUGAGAUGUGAAAAAGAGAUGACAAGGAUUUCAGACUUCUUCCAACGACCAUUUCAUGUGACUGAUUAAAGUGACUGGAACUUUGUUCUCAAGGACAAAAAAGAGAGAAGCAGUGGAGAAAAAUAUAUAUAUACACACACACAUACACACGGGGUGGGGGGGGAGAGAGAUUCAGCAUGAUUAAACCAUUUUUCAGCCCCCCAAACAAAGCUGCUUCAGGCAGGCCUAGCCUGGUGAGAGCAGAUACAAUUUGCAAGUUGUCAAUGCUCACACAAUGUUUUGAGGUCUCAAACCUUAAUCACACAAAGCAGCAAAACCAGUUUCCCGCUGCAAGGUUCCCAGCCGCCAUGGGCAAAGCUGUACAUCUGUGUGUCUGAUGCAAAGUGUGGAAACUGAAACCAAGCAUAGAAUUUCACUGAUUGAAAGCAAUUCAUUGGCGGUUGCGCCCAGUCAUUUCCCUGCAGUCACAGAAGACUCCUCGAUCCAGCAAAGGGUUCAACCAUCAGCAGAAAGAGGGGGCGGGAUUUUUGCUUAUUUCUUCUUCCCUCUCCAGGAAAGUACUUAAAACCUCCAGAGGGUUGAGGAACCCUUUGAAACAAACACUGUGCAAUGUGAUGCAAGGGGCUGGAGGAGAAAAGGAGGAUUUGUGAACACCUCCCCGUCCCUUCCACAAACAGAAAGCUCUGAUGCAGCAAACAGCCUUCCCGUGAGCAUAGAGACACCAUUUGAUACAACCUGAAGCUUCCUAUGCAGAUUCAAGAAAUAAGGAAUUAUUUUAAUCAGAAGAUUCUCAAGAAGUGCUCCAGGAAGAGCACAUGGUAAUGACAUCAGCGUGGCAUAGUGGUUAAGAGUGCUGGACUAAGACAUGUGAGAGCAGAGUUCAAAUCCAUACUCAUGCAUUACUUUUCCUGACCUACAGUAGCCAGAGAAGCUGUCUAUGCUAAAUUCUCUCUUCUGUGCAACAAUAAAUGGCAUAGAUGCUUAACUGCUAUGGAACGAACUCAUCACAAUUCAGGUUUAGUGAAACCACAUGUCACUUAACAGACUUUAGGGAGCGCUGAGGAUUUUUGUGACAUGUGAAAGCAUUAUAAGGUCUACUGCACAAUGAGGAUCCUGGAAACAUUAGUUUUGAGGGAGGCAAAGAAAGAAGCUAAUGAGAGGGCGAUCAAUAUAGUCCCGACUACUAAAACAAUCUCUCAAUUGCAUGCUUUUUAGAAUCAAUUCCCUGAGUCACCAAGAUCUAUCUGAAUAGUAGGCACAUAUCUUUUUGGAAGUACAUAUCUGCUACCAGAUAUGGAAAAGGAGUAACAGAUACAAAAUAGUAUAGUGAUGCUUGAAGAAAAAAACCUAUUGGAGUUAAGAACUUCCACUUCUGGGUUUAUGUCGUUCUCUCUCUCUCUCUCUCUCUCUGUGUGUGUGUGUGUGUGUGUGUGUUUUAAAUUGGAUAACACAUUUGAGUGAAAUCCAACAAUGACUUACAUUCUGUGAAAGCCCACAGACUUUCCUUGGGUCUGUAGCACAAUGUGUUCAAUCUUCUUAGUAUUUGGGCAAUUCCACUGAGUUGGGAUUUAGCAUCACCACACACCAGGAAAGUUAGUCUAGUCUGUAGAAAAGCAGUGCCAAGUUUGUUGAAUGUGCUCCAGAAUAAGCAGAUUCCAGUGAGUCUUAAAAGCAGCACAGUGUGAGUAGUAAGACCUUCGUCCAGCAGAUGUAGGAAAGCAGAUUUGCAGUUUAUUCACAGAAGCAGGCAAGGGAGAAAGUUAUCCAGGCAUAUGAUUUCAAAGUCACAGAGAGUAGGAUAACAAGAGGACUUGUUCAUACAUACAGCCGCCUGCCUAUGUCCCUGUUGUCUGCUCCAGUUAAUCCCUUCCAUCCACGGAUGGAAAGCGUAAGUUGCAUGACGCUGCUGAGGUACACCUGGCUAAUUUUAUUCUUAGCCACAGAAGCAUUCUUAGAGCCAUUACAGUCAUAUAACAUGCAACUCAUAAUAUCUAUGAAGCCACAGUUCACAUGUUACAUUAAUCUGUAUGGUUUUAUAUCGGCACAUGAUCAAAAUGGUUAUUAAAAAUGAGCUAGCUUA